GGGGGGGGAGCGAGCGUUGUCCGGAAUUACUGGGCGUAAAGGGCGCGUAGGCGGCCGAGUAAGUCGCGUGUGAAAGGGCCGGGGGCUCAACCCCGAGCACUGCACGCGAUACUGCCCGGCUAGAGAGAGGUAGAGGCGAGCGGAAUUCCCGGUGUAGCGGUGGAAUGCGUAGAUAUCGGGAAGAACACCUGUGGCGAAGGCGGCUCGCUGGGCCUUUUCUGACGCUGAAGCGCGAAAGCGUGGGGAGCAAACAGGAUUAGAUACCCUGGUAGUCCACGCCGUAAACGUUGGGCACUAGGUGUCGGGAGGCUUGGUCCUCUCGGUGUCGUAGCUAACGCAUUAAGUGCCCCGCCUGGGGAGUACGGUCGCAAAGGCUG
rnacentral:rRNA from 1 species